AAGGUGCAACAGAUCUACUAAAGAGGGGAGAGCUUCGUUUCACCCGAACGAACUAAGAAAGUGACGUCGAGAUGACGUAGCCCAGCGUUCGCAAAGUAUAUCGAUCGGCGACUACAAAUCGAGCUGACUUAAAAGUGGCGGGAGAGUUGUGUGUUUACUGGCUCAGUGCUGUAGAGUUCUGCUGCUGCGGUAUGUCGCAAACUCCUUUUUCGGGCACUUCUUCGAGUAUGUUUACUGACCGCGUUGAAGACCGGGAAGUAGAUGUGUUCGAGAGGUUAGUGCGUUCAUCGUUGAAAGGUGUAUGUAUUAUCAGAGAAGGCGACAUCCAUGGAUUUUGCGAGACAGAAGAGGAUAUUGUCCAUCUUCUGAGCAACCUGCGCCCAUGGCUACGCAUACUCAGAAGAAGUGCGUAUUAACGGCAGCCCCCCUUAGGUGCUGCUAAACACGAGACAGGCUUCUUCUACAGCCACACAAAAGGCAACAUACCAAUACAGUUUUUUGGUCCUGUUUUCUGUGUGGUAAGCUUAGUAAAAAGAGAAUGUACUCUUCCCCUGCUAUAUCAUAAAAGGGAGACCCUGUUGCAGAUCUGGUGGACCAUGUUGACCCAAAGAAGAAAAGUUCUCAUGGACACACAAAAGAAAGGCUGUCCAGCAACAUUGGAUGUUAAGUGUGUCAGGGUAUUCCCCGAUCAUGCGAUAAACUCAGCAACAGACAGUUAAAGUCACUGAGAAACUGAGAAGAGACUUGGAGUCAACAUAGGUACCAAAAAGUUAUCUGCGAUAUUAUGUGACUGCCUCCCAAGCAAGCCACCAUAAUCAUGGCAUUAAAUGUGUGAAAACGAUUGGACACAUACACACUUUGCUUUCAAAAGAGAUCAGGGAUAUAGUUACAAAGGGGACGAACUCAGUUCGGAUAAUUAAGUUAGAACUGGAAAGAUUUGUGGAAAAAAAUUUAACUGGGGAAAACAGAUCAGAUCGGAUGAACAUAAUGUUUUAGCCAACAGAUAGUACAAUUUAUAGCCAUAUGUAUUGGGCUCUGUUCGAGUUGAAGAAAACCGUUAUAGACAAAGAUGCAUUAAGGAACACUUUUUUUUUUCCCAGACCGUUUAGAUGACAAUGGAAAAGUGCAGCCAUUGCUUUUUUGUUACCAGCACAAGUGGCAAAGGGAACUUUUGAAAAGGUAUGGUAGGGUAUGUUUGCUUGAUGCAACAUACAAGACAACGAAGUAUGACAUUUCAUUAUUUUUCUUGGUAGUGAAAGCUAAUGUAUGCUAUUUAGUAGUUGGGAUAUUCGUUCUUCAAGUAGAAAACACUGCAACGAUUAAGGAGGCUCUAGACAUUUUCAAGGCAUGGAACCCAGACUGGAAUCCAGUUCCAUGGGUUACGUAUUUCUCUGUGCCUGAGAUAUGGGCAAUUAAAGGAACAUUUUCAAUGUCAAGGGUUUAUCUUUUUUUAUUUCAUCAAAAGCAAGCCUGGCAACAGUGGCUUAGCAAAAAGAACAAUUUAGACAUACUGCGAGACAGUGAGCAAAUUCUGAAGCUGUGGGAAGAAAUUGCAGAGUCACCAUCUGAAGAAAAAUUCUUAACUGCAAAACACAACCUUCAAUCUCAUGAAUUAGUAACUAGAAAUUCUGGUGCACUUGAUUAUUUUAAUAAGCAAUGGCUUUCAGUAUCUGAAAGGUGCGUGAAGGCCUAUGAGGACAAGCAGAAUUUCUUCGCUAAUAUAACUACUACUAAUGGUGUUGAAUCACUAAAUAAGUGAAACAUUUUUUUCUUAGACAUUCAGCAGAUAAAACAUUGACAGGUGUUGUUAAAGUUUUAAUAAAUGAUUUCCUCUCUAGCCUCUUUAAAAAAUAUUGUCUGAAGAAUUCAGCUGUGAAAUCUUACAGCAGAGCGAUUCCUCACUUCUUGCGUAACAAGUCACACGAAUUUGUGAAUCACGUAAUGAAAAAGUAUUCGCCAGCGCAAACUGGACUUACUGAAAGCUCAGUGAAAUAAAUGGGUGAGGGAUUAUUUUGUGUAGAAAGUGCAGAGGCCAAGGAUUGUUACUAUGUGGUAAAUUUUGCAAAGCCUAAUUGCACAUGUGAAGACUUCCAAAGGUGGAAAUAUUCAUGCAAACAUUUCUGCGCAAUUUUCAUUUAUUACUGUGGCUAGGACUUUAAUAAGUUGAAUGACAAUUACAUGAACAGCCCUUUAAUUUGUCUCGAUGGGACCUUUGGGUUUGGCUCGAGCAGCAGUUGGUCUGAAUCUGCCAGUCCUGUAUUACAAAGUUCAGAGGAUACCAGCAGUGAGAAGGCAGUAAACCAAGGCAGUGACAAUCCCAGAAGCUCAACUUCAUCAGAGGAACAAGAUAAAAGGCAGUUAGCUAGGCUGGUUAUAAACCUGACCUACAGCACUAUAAAAAUUAAGACUUUGAGAAUGUGUGCACUAGCUACAUCUUAUCCUGAGGAUGAUGUAAUAGCAUCAUGAUUUAAAAAAAAAAUCAGAAAUUUGUCUUUGUCUUACUUGAACACCAAGGCCACUUUUGCAGCAACCUGUAACAAUACAAAGUUGUCAAAUCAUGUAAAGUGAAGUGAUAAAAUAACAUGCUGCUAGAAAUAUAAUUCAGAAUCGGAUACUAUACUCACUUCUGUCUCCAUGUGGUAAUUUGUUCACUGAGCAGAAAACCUGGAAAAUUCAGCUAUUUGUCUGAAACUGUAGCUGAGCAAUCUCAUCAGUGUUCAUUAUAUUUUCCCUUGGACUGAUACAGUCUAAGUGCAGAAAGCAAAAUUAAUUGAAAAAAUUGUCUUGUAAUAAGAAUUUAUGUAAAUAAAUGUUAUCACAUUACGCACCUUGAUGAUACACAACCAGGUAAUGUGCCACAGCAACCUUAUUUUUAACGGUAGGGACUCCCGCACCUAGGUAUGCAUUUGUGUGUCAAUUACACUUUCCACGAGAUCAGGAGGUUCAGAGGAAUGAUCACAACAUUGCCUCUCGCUGCUGAGAGAAGGCAACUGUGUCACCUGAAUGGGAAUACAAUGAUUAACUUUAAAAUAACUUGGCCAGAAAGUGAUUUUAAUCAAAAAUCAAUGCAGAUACUGACAUACCUUGAUGUUGCCAAGGUGAUCUGCAACUCUCUUGUAAAUUUUGCUUGUGGCUUGUCCAUUGCUCCCAUACAGUACAAAAGAACCAAAAAAGCUGAUCUGACUGCUGCUUUUAAAUGUGGCAAAAGAACACAGAGUACCUGUGAACCGUGAAAUAAUCUAGUAAGCAAAAAAGGGUAAACAAUACAUAUUUAAUGACGAAGCAUAUGUAACACGUUUAACUGCAAAAGGGGAUAACUCCCACACCACCCAUAGCUUUAAAAUAAAAGAUUGCAAUUCUUACCUAUCACUACUGCAAUCUAUAUAUGACUGACAAGGUGUUGAGAAAAAUGUCCUUUGCAAAUAAUAAUCUGUACGUACACAGAGUAACUGUCGUAAAUAGUACAGAUUCAUUCUACUUGAUGCAGAGUACACAUAACAUGUAUAAGAAUGGUAAUAUUAUAACAACGCGAAGCCCAGGAUGGAAUAACAAUUUUGCACUGUUAUCCAUCUUGGCUUUCAGCCAAAGCUCCUUCAUCUGAAAUACAAAUUAGACACACAUUCUGGCCACAGUAGUGAGAGACAUUGGUCAUGGGUGUGUGUUUUUCUAUUUCAGGUGAAGGCCUUUGGGCUGAAAGCUAAGAGUUAUCAAUCUUUUAAUUGUACCAAUUUGUGAGAACAUUUUGUAUCCUUUUAGUAAUGUCAAUAUUCUACUUCAUUAAGUCUGCCACAAUUGGGAAGUCCUCAAUUAAAGCUGAUCUUCUACAGAUAAUUUCUACUUUUUGGAUAGUGAAUGUCAAACAUACUGAGUGAAUUUGGAAUUGGCAGCAACAUGUCAGUUCAUCUUUAGCAAAGUGUAAACAAAUUUCAUUGUAGUAAAUUACAAUUUACAGGAUAUGUUUAUCAGCAGUGACUAAGGGCUUAACCCAUUGUCUUUAAUUAUCAACAAUCAAAGAUCCUCUUGCAACACUGUCUAAAUUGUUUACUCUAUCUGCAAGGUUGCCUUCAUCUCAUGGUUGGUAGUCUUAAGUUGUUUUACAGAAGUAAUUGCAGAUGUAACACGUGUCAUUAAAAUUUCAGUAUGGAAAAAACCAAACACUGUGUGUGACAUGACUUUUUACCAAGCACCCCUAUACUCUAUACAAUGAGUUGAUAAAAUAUUAGGAGUUGCACACAUAGAAUGAGUGGUAUCAUGCAACAGAUUGUCUCCAUUUUUUACGUACCUAUCCCUGCACUUCAUAGGUCAAUGAAAAUGUCAGAGCUACCGAGGUAAAUCUUUCCAAAUAGGUGAGGCUCUAUACCAUCUCACUGUUGGAAAUUAAAGGGGCAGGAUAACAAAUGAGGGCAGCUCAAGGAGUGUGUGUUGAUCUCAAGAAGAUUGGCAAGCAGGGGGAUAAGUAGCUACUGGAAUGAUACUACUGAUGAAAAUAGCAAUACUUCAGUGAUUAAUGGAUCUACAGACCAGAGCCUCAGACAAAUUCGUAUAUGUAUACACACAUAGGUAGAAUAAUUGAAUAAUCUUUGGGAAUUGUAUUUAACAGCCAAUUGUGUCAAAGUAACUGUACAACAUUUAGUCCAUUCAUGCAUGUGAUGAGGCAUUAGCUACUUAAGACAAGAGCUCCUUUCAUCUGACCACCACCAGACUGUAUACAGCAAAUUCCACAACAGUGGAACAAUAAAACUUUUAAGCGAAAAUAUCGAAAAUUGUACCCUAUAGUACAGUACAAGAACCAUGUAGAUUGAGUCAUCCCAGGUGCCUCUACCUUUCAGUAAUUAUAGUAAUGUGUAAUGAAAGGGGGAAAAAACUGUACGAGAGAUAAGGUGGAGGGAAUGGGGGCAGAGAGAGAGAGAAAAUUUGCUUACAGGAAGAUUUAUAAGGCACAUAUUAUUAGAACAGGAAAAGUUUUUAAGGUAGGACAAACUAUGAGAGGAGGAAGGGGCAGCUUGCACUUGUGCAGACUAGACAAUGGUUGUUAUGUGGAAGCAGCUCAAGUUUUGAACCAACUAUUGUGAAUAAUCUAGAAUAGGGCCAGUGAGGUACUUAUACGUUUCGCGCAGGAAUGUUUUCAGCACUUCUUGUGAAGUAUAAUGGAACAAAAGAGGGUGUGUCAGCUGUGUUAUACAGCCAAUGAGGUAGCAGUAGGCAGACUAUAUGUUUCAAUGUAAUACAUGUGAAACAUUGUUGUAAACAAAAAUCAUAUAUUUAACUGCUCCCUGUUUGAGUCACAGCUAUUUAAACUGUGCUAGCAUCUGAAAACUGAGUUCAGUGUCACAACCCAAGAUGUAUUUGAGAAAGAAGUGAAAUAUGUUUCUCCUCUUCUAACAUGACAUUAGAGGGAAUAGCAAUUUUCAAAUCAUAUUUUUCAGUGCAUACUCUUAUGUGUGCAUUGCUCCUUUAAGCUUACACACAAACUGUUGUUCAAAAUGACAAGUUGUUACAGUGUUUCUAAAAUGUUUAUACUAUUGUACAUGUCAAUGUAUUUUAUGUUUUGCAUUUAUGUAAGCAAGCAUGGACUAUGCAUGUGAAUUGGACAUAUGAAGAAAUGUCAUAGUGUAAUUAUCCUUGUUGAGUGAAAACUAAACUCCAUGUAUUUCUUAUUAUGGAUAAUAAAACAAUGUGGUAUCAAUAA